rnacentral:rRNA from 1 species
CAAUAGCGUAUAUUAAAGCUGUUGCGGUUAAAAAGCUCGUAGUUGGAUUUCUGUCAAGGACAACUGGUCCGCCCCUCGGGUGAGCACAUAGUUUGGUCUUGGCAUCUUGUAGGAAACUGUUGCUGCACUUGGUUGUGUGGCGCAGUGUCCAGCACUUUCACUUUGAGGAAAUUGGAGUGUUUCAAGCAGGCACAUGCCUUUGGACACAGUAGCAUGGAAUAAUUAGAUUGGGCUUUUGCUCCAACUUGUCGGUUUCUGGAGCUGAGGUGAGAAUUAAUGGGGAUUGUUGGGGGCAUCCGAAUUUAGCCGUCAGAGGUGAAAUUCUUGGAUCUGCUAAAGACGGACAACUGCGAAAGCGUUUGCCCAGGAUGUUUUCAUUGA